UGCAGUCGACGCUUCUUUCCUCCCGAGUGCUUGCACUCAAUUGGAAAGAGGAGUGGCGGACGGGUGAGUAACACGUGGGUAACCUACCCAUCAGAGGGGGAUAACACUUGGAAACAGGUGCUAAUACCGCAUAACAGUUUAUGCCGCAUGGCAUAAGAGUGAAAGGCGCUUUCGGGUGUCGCUGAUGGAUGGACCCGCGGUGCAUUAGCUAGUUGGUGAGGUAACGGCUCACCAAGGCCACGAUGCAUAGCCGACCUGAGAGGGUGAUCGGCCACACUGGGACUGAGACACGGCCCAGACUCCUACGGGAGGCAGCAGUAGGGAAUCUUCGGCAAUGGACGAAAGUCUGACCGAGCAACGCCGCGUGAGUGAAGAAGGUUUUCGGAUCGUAAAACUCUGUUGUUAGAGAAGAACAAGGACGUUAGUAACUGAACGUCCCCUGACGGUAUCUAACCAGAAAGCCACGGCUAACUACGUGCCAGC
rnacentral:rRNA from 1 species